AAUAGGGUUAUGAUAAUUUAUUCCUAAACCUUCAAAGGCGAAAUAAGUUGGAUGCCUGUUAGU
rfam:Stegodyphus mimosarum contig57555, whole genome shotgun sequence.